rnacentral:lncRNA from 1 species
CAAAUACUAUGUUGGACUAAUUAUUUGAACAAAUAUUCGAACAAUUAUUUAUGAAAGCAAAAGAUACAGUGGAAAAUAAAUGUGGACACAAUGCAUAAUUUACACAAUACAACUUAUAAUUAAAUUGCACCGUGAAUCCACUAUAAGAAUCUUUCAUACAAUGAAUUAAAUUCUUACUUAACAAAUAAUUUCUCUUAAUUUUUUUUUUUUUUGAGACAGAAAGCUAUCAAUACUAUUACUCAAUAUCAUCCCGUACAAUAUCCCCAAGCUAACUAGGGAAGUUUUGAGUCCACCUCGUUGGGUGCUCAACAUUACGCGCAACUAUGUAUGCAUAAUUAAGGUUAGCAACAACUACUAUACACUCAUAAAUGUUGUUUCAUUGUUUGCAAAGCUCUAACAUGGUUGAGAAGCUGAUCAUCCAAGAAAUGCAGUGAACUUGAAUCCCAAAUUUUUAAUCCAUCAGCUAACUGCUAGAACUACAGA